GGUAGGAUGACAGAGUGGUUGAAUGUGCCGGUCUCGAAAACCGGUUUCCGCUUUAUGCGGAACGUGGGUUCGAAUCCCACUCCUACCGCCA
rnacentral:tRNA from 1 species